rnacentral:misc_RNA from 1 species
UACAGAGGGUGCAAGCGUUAAUCGGAAUUACUGGGCGUAAAGGGUGUGUAGGCGGUUAAAUAAGUUAGGUGUGAAAGGCCCGGGCUUAACCUGGGAACUGCGCCUAAUACUGUUUAGCUAGAGUAUUGUAGAGGAAAGUGGAAUUUCCGGUGUAGCGGUGAAAUGCGUAGAUAUCGGAAGGAACAUCAGUGGCGAAGGCGACUUUCUGGACAAAUACUGACGCUGAGACACGAAAGCAUGGGGAGCAAACAGG